AUACCUUUCUCGGCCUUUUGGCUAAGAUCAAAUGUAGUAUCUGUUCUUAUCCGUUUAAUAUCUGAUAUGUGGGUCAUUGGUUCACACGAUAAUAAAUUUAUUUUUUGAGGGGAGGGUCUGCUACAAUAGCUUGCUAUGCUCUCAUUUGUCGUCCAAGCGUUGCAAUACUGCACGGGCAUGGCACCCCACCA
rfam:Glycine max cultivar Williams 82 chromosome 5, whole genome shotgun sequence.